rnacentral:lncRNA from 1 species
GGCUCCUAGGUGACUUUAUUUUUGAUAUUUUCCUUCAACAAAUAUUUACCGAGCUUCUAUAUCAUGCUGUCCAAUAGAAAAAUAAUGCAAGCCACAAAUGUACUUUUUCUAGGAGCCACAUUUAAGGAGGUAAAAAGAAACAGAUGAAAUUAAUCUUAAUAAUAUACUGUACUUAAUAUAGUCAAAAUAUUAUUUUAACAUUUAGUCACUAGAAAAAUUCUUGAGAUACUUUAUAUUCUUUUUCUUUGGUACUAAGCCUUUUGAAAUUCAGUGUGUAUAUUAUAUUUUCAGGACAUCUCAUAUUGGACUAGCCCUAUUUCCAGCACUCAGUGGACACACAUAGCUGGACAGUGCAGUAUUGUGCUGGGUGUCUGCCUUCACUGAGUUGACAGUCUAGUGUGGGAAACAGGUAAUAAAGAGGUAAAUAAUUUUGGAGAGUGUUAUUGAGAAAAUAAUACAUCGGUAUUUGAGGGAUUGCGAAGCUGACUUAGAUGGCCUGGGGAGUUAGGAAAGCCUCUCUGAGGCUGAGACCCAGAUAGGAGGCAUUAACCAUCAAUUAUCUAUUGCCACAAUAAUGCUGUAUACACUAAACCAUUCCACAAGUCAGAAGCUGAACAUAGUAACUAGUUAUUAUUGUUCAUGAGUUUACAAGUUAGCUGGGCGGUUCUUCUGGUUGCAGGUGGGCUCCUGCAUCUGUGGGCGGCUGCAGGUCAGGCAGGUGGCUGUGCUGAUCCUGGCUGGGCUUGCAUGUUUGGGGUCUGCUGGCUGUUGAGUGGUGUAGGAUGACCUCAGCCCUUUUCCAUGUGGCUUCUCAUCUUCCAACAGGCUAGCCCAGGCCUGUUCUCACAGUGGAGGCAGGGAUCCCAGAGAGACCAUGGAAGCCUUCAAGGUUUCUUAAGGCUCAGGUUCAGGACUAUAUCACUGGAGGCCGGUCUGGUUGCACAGUGGUUAGGUUCGCACAUUCUGCUUCGGUGGCCCGGGGUUUGCCAGUUCGGAUCCCAGGUGUGGACCUACUCACUGCUUGGCAAGCCAUGCUGUGGCAGGCGUCCUACAUAUAAGGUAGAGGAAGAUGGGCACGGAUGUUAGCUCAGGGCCAGUCUUCCUCAGCAAAAAGAGGAGGA